CGAGAGACCAGCGAGGUUACGAGCUCAUGCUGGUCACGCAGCUAGAAAGUGACCCAGAUCUCGUUCCAAAGCCUCUGCUCUCAAUCGUUUUUGUGGUUUCCUGUCCCAAGCACUUUGGGCAUCAGAUCCACUGGGCUAAUAUGGGUAACCGAGAUGCCAGGUGAUGUAAGUUACAAAGCAAUUCAUUCUCUCACUGCUUCUAGAUCAGGGUCUGGCACAGAGGCAUAAAGUGAAUUAGAUGACUAAUAUUUGGAUGAACCAAAUGAAGAAGGUGCCUUUAUGUCCACUGUGCAGGUGAAAACACAGGCUCAUGAAGAGUUUUGCCUAAGGCCUCCUGAUCAGCUUGGCAGAGGGGAGACUUGAACUCUGAUCUUUGGACCACAGGUCCUUCCCAUUCUCUGCCCACCUGGAGGGUAGCAGAACCCUGUCUGCAACUGGUUCCCAGUGGCCCCAGAAAGCUGUGGGUCAGUCUCUCUCCAUCGUGUCUGUCAAAUGCCAUUAUCCCCAGGUGGAUCAAGUCACCACCAAGGACAGAAACCGACGGUCCGUGCAUCACAUUGAAAGCUGGUGACCCACAGAGAUUCAAUCCCACCUCGAGGCUGGAGGACUGGAGAGAAAUGGAAAUGAAGUGCACGCAUCUCACCAUCUCACCUGUAAGCCCAAUGGCUUUUUCCCAUAUGUGCACCUGAGGAACCACCACCCCGAUCGAGAUUUAGAGCGAAAUGAAAUCUUCAAAGCUGCCAUAUGCUUAUGGACUGUAAAGCGCUGAAGCAAGCCAUCCAUUAGGGGUUGAACUGUGUCGCCUGAAAAGAUCUAUUCAAGUCCUAACCCCAGGACCUGUGCAGCACCCUUAUGUGGAAAUGGGGUCUUUGCAGAUGUCAGCAAGUUAAGAUGAGGUCAUCCUGGGGUAGGGGAAGCGGGAAAUUCGGACACAGACACACAGAGAGGAGAAAGCCACGAUGCAGAAGGAAGACGGCCACGUGAAGAUGGAGGCAAAGCCUGGAGGCUGCUCCCACAAGCCAAGGAACAUCUGGGGCCACCAAGAGCUGGAGGAGGCCAGGGAUAUCCUCCCAUGCAGGUUUCGAGGGAGCACAGCUCUGCCGACACUCUGAUUUUGAUUUCAAGCCUCCAGAACUAUAAGACAAUACAUUUCUGUCCUUUUGAGCCACCCAGUUUUGCUUUGUUACAGCAGCCCCAGGAAAACAUCAUCCUACUGGGUACAGUAGGUUUCAUUAACCUCGCUUUUAAAAUGAGGACCCUGGGGUCUAGAGAGGGGGCGUGACUUGCUCAAGGUCAUAUCACUAAGGAGCGGCAGCUCAGGAACUUGAACUUUGGAUGCUUCCAUCGGUAAGAGCCCUGCUCUCUGCCUCUUGAGCAUCCCGGCGUUAUUGCCACGCGUCCUUAUCCCUGGCUCCCGUUCCCUCCCAAAGCCAAGGGUUCACUGUAUUGUUUCACAAAGCUAAUCGCUAGUUUUUACAUAAAGGCUUUAUUUUACAAGCUCCAAAUUAGAUUUUAUUAAGCUCACACGUAUGAUUUUCCUUGUUUUUAUUAAAAUUAAGUUCACUCAUUUGCCACUUGCAAGGCAGUUGGAAAUUAGGAUCGCUUUGUAUCCACGGAAACAGAGAGAAUUUUAUAUGUGAUCAGACUUUUACCCACAGAAUGGGGAAAAAAGGCAGCUGGUAAUUAGGUGCGUAAUUCCUGGGCGAGCUCCUGGAGCACAAGGCCCCGCCCUCCUGCGAGCAGCUGACGGUGUAGACGGCGC